GCGGCGCGGGCCCUCCUCCCAUUGGACCCGGCGCUCCCGGCAGGCCUACAGAAUUGGGCAUGAAACAGCAAAGGAUGGCCUCUGCUUCCACCACCAUCAGAAAUGUUACAUUUUCACCAGUGCACCAUAAUGUAGCAGUCUCUCAUUGUGAGGUAUCACCUGGAGUUCUUUGUCUCAUGACCAAGAAAAUUAAGGAGCGUGGAUGCAAAGGAUGAAGUUGCAGCGAAAGUUUAAUAAGCAAAAGAAGAAAGCUCUCCACAGUGGAGAGGGGACCUGGAGGAGGGUUGCUGCUUUUACAGUAUCUUCCCUUGUGGACUACACCAAUGUCGAAAUGUUCUUGCUAAAAAUGAUGCAGGGAGAAAGACAAAGUUACAAAGUUGGCAUCCACAAUUUUUCCAUCUUGCCCCACUUCCCAAUUAAAAUGAAGGAAAAAAAAAUUGGUGAGGUCUCCAUCCCUGUCUGAAGCAGGCAUCCAUUAUCCUGCCCAGGGGGUGACCUUUAUCUUCAUGGCCCAGUGUGACUGCAAGAGCUCUAGCAUCCAAGUUCCCAGCAGAAGGAUGGAGGACUGACUGGAAAAACAAGGAGACACAGGGUAUGCAUCGGAUAUGAAAUUUAUGUCAUACAAUUUCUUUACCAAUAGAUAAGACUGAAAGCAACACCAGCCAGUCUUGGGAAAUAUAAAGUCACAAAUACAUUUUGAUAAUUUUUCAUUUUGUAAAGGAUCUUUCUGCUGAUGCAGCUGUUA
rnacentral:antisense_RNA from 1 species